CAGCAGGAUGGAAUUGGGCGCAAUGGGCCCUCUCCUGAUACCGCUCUUCCGAAUGACGAAUGAUGUUUUACAACCCGAAGGUUCGUUCUGCCGGGAAAAGAAGACCAGUCAGGAAAUGCUUGUACACGCUUGCGUCCAUCUGGGAAGAGUGCCCAGGCUAACGCCGU
rnacentral:rRNA from 1 species